rnacentral:lncRNA from 1 species
AUACAAGGAAUUCAAACAAGAGAUCCGUGAGCUCGUGCAAAAUUCUAGGACCCCUAAAUCGCCAACCCCUGUUACAGCCCAACCUAAAAUUGGUUUGGUCGCACCACCUGUAGUCCUUCCCCACUCUUCUAGGCACCAAACCCAAUACUCUAGGUGUCAACAAUUCGGCCACAUAGCGCCCCAAUGUUCCACUAAGACCUACCCGAUUACUGAACCAGAAGUUAGGAACCAAGAGGCCGAAU